rnacentral:lncRNA from 1 species
GCUCCAUUACAAUCUUAAGGGACCACUGUCAUCUAUGUAAUCUGUCAUUAUUGAAAUGUUAUACAGUACAUGACUAUUGUUAGAGUUCUCUAGGGAAAAUUGGACUAAAAAUUUUUCAUCUUUUUAAUAUUAAAAAUCCAAAUUUGAAAUCAAGCUUUAAAAAUUGUUAUCCAUAUACUGAUACCCAUAUAUUGUUACUCAGAUAAACAAAUUAUUUUCAUUUGACAAAUUUAAAACAAGUGAAUAAAAUUUGAGGUUGAUAGCUUGCAAUUACAUUGAUUUUCAUUUUCUUUCUUUGGUAUUAUUCAAAGUGACAAUGCUUAGAUAAAUGUCACUUCAUCAACAACAGUUUUGCAACAGAGAGAUUGCAGCAGAGAGAUAUAUGGAAGGAAUGUGUGAAAAGCGUUUUCAGAGGAGCAGAUGAAAGGCUUUGCAAACUAUUGGGGUGGUCAGCCGUCACACUUGCCUCUAAGUCCCCAUGAACUUGUGUAGUGCUUGACUUCAGUAAGAGGGAAAAAUGUGGAGGUGGACAGUGGUUUAUAUAUGAUGCAGGAAAGAUACAAGGAGAUGACAGUUAGUCAAACACAAAAUGUUCUGACAGGUGUAUAGUAGACUCAAGAAUAAAUAAUAAAAUGACAGUGAUUAAAAUGUGUUUACUUAAGUGAACAAUGGCUUGAAAUAUGGCUACACGGUAAAGACCUCAUUAUCGACCAUACUUGGCACAUAAAUAUAACACUUAUGUUGAGGGGUAAUUAAUUUGCUCUUACAGGUGAAGUGAUGGGUCACUUGUGGCCCAGCCUCACUUCUUUGCACUGGACAAGUUAAAUCCUGAAACAGACAUUCUCUGAUAGCAUUUAAAAAUCUUCCAAGCCAGACACUCAUUUUAGAAGCUGUUAGGUAGUUGUAAUUUGGAGUGUAUAAGCAGAAAGCCUACGUGUGAGGACAGAUGACAGAGUGAGGAACUGUAGACAGAAUGUGCCCUUGGGUGUUACUGAAGCAAGAUGCCUUACUGCACAUUUUCUAUCUUCUAUUUCUGAAAGUUAGUGUUCAAAGGCACCGUUACCUAAAACUUGCCAUAAAUAUCAUGCAGGGUAGUAAGCCUCACACUUCAGCAUGCAUCAGAAUUACCUGGAGGGCUUAUGAAAUCACAGGCAGGUGAUCUGCCCACCUCAGCCUCCCAAAGUGCUGGGAUUACAGGUGUGAGCCACCGUGCCCAGCCUGUUUUGUUUGUAUGUUCCCUCCUAAGCAAUAUACUUCUGCUAAAUUGGGGAGGCAUCUUUGGGGCUAAUCGCGGGAAUACAAUAUAUGGGUAAUAUAAAAUCAUUUAUAUGUGACAUGAAGCACCAAGCUCUUAUUCAUGAACUUUUUGGUUAUGUUAAAAAUCAUGGAGUUUCAAAGGCUACAAGGUCUUGGUCAUAUCAGAGCAAAAGGAAUGAUUCUUGAAGAGCAUAAAGUAUUUUACCAUUUUUCUCUCCCUCUUCUCAUUAUCAUACACCACUGCUACCCUUAGAGUCUCUCCUUUCAGGCUCCAAAUAUUGCAGAAACCUUCCCUGACUCAACUCUUUAUCAUGUGCAUUAACUUGGCCUGUUUCUUAUUCUUAAUUUAUUUUGUAAUAUCCUGUUAACUGACUGUAGAGCAGCAAAGAAAACUGCAAGGGCUGGUUCAGUGAUUAGCAGUCUCUUCUACUUAAUAGACUUUUUAAAAAACACACAGCCACACAACUAUUAUCACGUCUCAACGUUGAGAAAAUAUUCUAAAUGUUGGUGGAAAAAUUGAGUAUGCAAUUUGAUCUUGACUUCGGGCUGCACAGGUUUUAAAAUCAAAUUAUUACUUGAAUAUGCAUAUUCUCUAGCUCCACGCUUGAAGUCCUUCUACAUAAAUGUCAAUGCUUUGCCUAAGAGGCCGUGUUGUAGAAAGUUCUGAUGUCCUAAGAUGGCCUCUGAGCUCCUAUGAUGGUGGCUCUGCUUAUUCUCUGCCUAGUCUCACACUAUCGUGCCUUGCUCUCUGUACUGCAACCACACUGACCUGCUCUCAUCUCAAAUGUGGCAACCUUCGCAUUUGAUGCUGUUUCAUUUAUCUAGAACUUUACCAAGCCAUUUUCAAAUUCUUUAUAUCUUAGCUUCAACGUCACUUUCUCAGGUCAUCCUUCUCUGACCCUAUCCUUACCCAGCCUCCCCACCCAAGGACUGGGCUGUAUCAGCCCUAUCAUCUCUCCCAUGACAUUUAUCACAAUUACAAUCAGAUCAUGGCACACACAAAUACAGAAUUAAUGUGUGCCUUCUCUGCUAAACUAGAGGCUGUUGAAGGCAAGGGAAUUUACAGUCUAAUAGAGGACAAAUGGAUCAUUUCAAAUAGAGUCCAGUAAAAUAAACAGAUUGGAACAACACAGCGGUCAGAAAAACCAGAGUCUUCUGUCUCAGGUGUUCAUGUUUGAUCUGAGACCCAAGGAUGAGCAUGUGGAUGGUUUGCCUUGUGCAAACGGCUUAGGUUCUGAAACCAUAUGACACGUCCAAGCAAUUUCAACUGGUUUGGUGUAGCUGGGCAACUAGGAUGUAAAUUAUUAGAGAAGCGAAUUAAAAGGCAGUGAGAGGCACAAAAGCAAUGUGAACUUUUUUCUAGAGAUGUGUGGGAAUACUUAGUACAUUUUAAAACAGGAAACUAUGUUAUCAAAUGAGUAUUUUAAGAAGAGCACUUAGAAGCUGUGUUGUGAAUGGAUAGGAGGGAAGAGACCAGUUUGAAGGCUGUGGGAAUAGAGUGAGUGAUUUUUAAAAAAUUGCAUUAGAGCAGAGAUGGAAACAGAGGGACAAACUUCAGAUAUAAUUAAAGGAGGAAGCUCUUGGGGCUUAGUGAUGCAUCAGACAGAUGAAAGGGUGAAAGAGAAGAGGGGUAUAAGUCCACCUCUCGGUGACUAGGUACAUAGUGCAGCCAGAAUGCAGAUUCAGGAAGAGGUACAGAUUUUUGCGGGAACAAGAGAAGGAAUUCUGUUGUGGGGUUUUUGAAUUCAAGGUGGAUAUCUAGAUGAAUAUUUAAACUCUUGAGGAGGCGCGACCUUGAAAUGUUGAC